GCACCUACCAUGAGAGAAGUCCAGUUUGGGUUUGUUGGAACAGCUGAGACACAGAGAAGAAACCCCAGAGAGAAGAGGCCAGUGGCAGCAUGCCUGUCUCAACUAGUAGGUGGGGAGUGAGAGGCAGAGAGAGGGACUUGUUGGCCAAAGCCAAAGGGCAGGGCAUUACUCAAGCAGAUUUCCUGCAUCUGAUUGUUUUAGAGCUCACAGGCACAAAUUUCAUGAAGUCACCUGUGAUUGGGAGCUGGUAACUAAGAAUAUCAACUACAUUCCUGGAUUAAUUGAAAACAAAGAUAUCUGAUUUUACAUCCAGCAGUUACUUGGCGUACAGCUUAUUCUCAAACCAGGAUCUGAGUCUGUUACCUGGGCUGGAGUACAGUGAUGUCAUCAGAGCUUGCAGCAACCUCAA